rnacentral:lncRNA from 1 species
GUUUCUUAUAUGUUGGCUUUUUGUGUAUACGUAUUGGAUUUUCAUGCUGAACCCAUUUGUAGGUGCUACCAUACAGAUACAGAUUUGGAUCAGGCUGCGCCUUUUAAUCUCUUUCCCCUCUCCUAUUAAUUUCCAAUCAUUCCCCAACAAAGAGGUCCAGCACCCCGUAGUUUUUUGUUCUUUCCUUUUCUUUUGGGGUCGAUUGUUUUGCUCCAGUGGUUUUCCCCGUUUGUGUUCAUUGUUGAUUUCGCCUUACCUCUGUGGUAUAUAUUGGGUUUUUCCCCUUCCUCCUUCUUCCUUUUUCCCCCUUUUUCCUGUGGUAUAUAUUUGGUUUAGUGUCGUGUUGUUGUUCUGCAUAUGGUUUCUCGGUUGAGGAAUACUGCUCGUAGCAACGUACCAGCCUGUCCAGAGGUCAGUUUCUACUGCAAUUUAUUUAUAUAUUCUUUUUUCAUUCUUAUUUUUUAUUUAUAUUUCUUAUUACUUUUGUGUUGGCAUUUUUUGGAUUCAUAUUUCAUAGGUGAACCAGUCGACUGAUCAUCUUCUUUCUCCUGUUUUUGUUCGGCGCUCUGCUGCUCAGCGUGGUAGACGGGCUAGAGAGGGGCGUGCUAGGCUUGCAUUUCACAAUGGUCAGGUUCCCAUCAGUUCUCAUUCUUCCCUGCCUGAAUCAUUGCAUCUACAUUUGCACCAUUUCCCUCUGUUAUUUAGUGAGUUUAUAUUUAUUUACU